UGAGGGAAAGGCGAAAAGAACCCCGGCGAGGGGAGUGAAAAAGAACCUGAAACCGUGUACGUACAAGCAGUGGGAGCCCCACCACUAAGCCAGUGGUGAACUCCACAUACGCAUCCUUUGCUGAGGAUACGGUUAACGGAGCGAAAGCGACGUUCAACCGCAAAACAAGCAGAGGGGGCUUAGUGGUGGGGUGACUGCGUACCUUUUGUAUAAUGGGUCAGCGACUUAUAUUCUGUAGCAAGGUUAACCGAAUAGGGGAGCCGUAGGGAAACCGAGUCUUAAUUGGGCGUUAAGUUGCAGGGUAUAGACCCGAAACCCGGUGAUCUAGCCAUGGGCAGGUU
rnacentral:rRNA from 1 species